rnacentral:rRNA from 1 species
UACGGAGGGUGCAAGCGUUACUCGGAGUUAUUGGGCGUAAAGAGCGCGUAGGUGGUUUGGUAAGUUUGAUGUGAAAGCCCAGGGCUCAACCCUGGAAGUGCAUUGAAUACUGCCAGGCUGGAGUAUAGGAGAGGUAAGCGGAAUUCCUGGUGUAGAGGUGAAAUUCGUAGAUAUCAGGAGGAACAACGGUGGCGAAAGCGGCUUACUGGACUAUUACUGACACUGAGGCGCGAAAGCGUGGGGAGCAAACAGG